CUAUUAGUUUAAUUUAAAAUAUUAAUUUUGUAAAUUAAAAAUAAAUAUUAUUAUUUAUAGU
rnacentral:tRNA from 1 species